rnacentral:lncRNA from 1 species
UUCGAUGUAUGAAUUAGAGAUUAGUUCGGUUAGAAAACGAUAAUCGCCGUUGCUGACGUCACCGCCGGUAAUCAACCAAUCAUAAAAUCCGAUUUCUCUUCCUCCUAUCCUUUAUCCUAAGCCUCUCCUUCUCCUCCUCCUCCUCCUCCGCGCACGUUAGCCUCUCUCUCCCUCCCUCCUUCCUAAUGGACACGACGCCGGAGACUCAAUCGAAGAGCGGCGGCUCAAGCCGUCUCCCGCCGGGACGCGAGGACUGGUGGAGCGAGGACGCGACGGCGACGCUGAUCG